rnacentral:rRNA from 1 species
UACGAAGGGGGGCUAGCGUUGUUCGGAAUUACUGGGCGUAAAGCGCACGUAGGCGGAUCGAUCAGUCAGGGGUGAAAUCCCAGGGCUCAACCCUGGAACUGCCUUUGAUACUGUCGAUCUGGAGUAUGGAAGAGGUGAGUGGAAUUCCGAGUGUAGAGGUGAAAUUCGUAGAUAUUCGGAGGAACACCAGUGGCGAAGGCGGCUCACUGGUCCAUUACUGACGCUGAGGUGCGAAAGCGUGGGGAGCGAACGGG